UCUCCGUAAACAAGCGGAGGGCAUUUUUAAUAACCCGUCGCAAAGCUGGGCUGCCGGGAUCCGGGGUGGGGGGCUGGAGCACAGCCGAAAGCACCCCCCGGGAGUCAUUCACGGCCGCCGCCGGCGCUGACCACGGCCUUGGCGGAGGAGGUCCGGGUUCAGCCCCAGAGAGGAUCCCUCAUCUGCGGUGAACUGGAAUGCCAGGGGCGACAGCGACGUCAAUUUUCUUCUGCUCCUUCAACCCCUCCCUCAACCGAGGACUUGAAGAUUGAGGAUAUCUCAGUUUUAUAUCCUCCUGCAAAAUGAGACUGCUGGCAAGGAUCCCUAGGCUGGGCUUUGAAGGAAAAAAAAUCUGCGAACAAGUCCCCAAAGCCCAAUCAUCAGUCAUAAUGAAAAAGACCACUUUUGUGGAUGAAAGAACAGUUCAAAUUCUGCAGUCAAGCCUGUGCUUCUGCUGAAGUCACUGCAAGAGUGACAGCUGCAGUAAUGAAUUUCAAUAUGAAGAUUAUAUGAACAUCCCCCCCAUUCCUCAAAGAACUGGCCAAGACUGUCAGGCAUUUUACACAGGCUUGUUUCAGGCAUCAGGUAGCAACUGCUUUUGGUCAUGAGUGGCUUGGAUUGAUAUUGAAAUGUUGAGUAUUUCUAAAGAUUACAAAUCCAUCAUCAACUGGAUCUGAGCAGCUACUUCAAUACUUCCCAGUUCAAGUACGAUAUGCAAAAAGGUGCCCUGGCCUUUAGGCUUUUAAUAACACUUUGUACUUAUAGGAAGGGUUCAAGGACAAAAGAAACUGCCAGGUGUGGAAUGGGAUUGAUUCAGUGACCUCUUGAGGAAUCUCAAGCCACAUAAGUCCACGGGACCAGACGGGCUGCACCCAUGGGUACGAAGAGAGCUGGCUGUCAUCAUUGUGAGGCUGCUCACUAUCAUCUUUGAAAGGUCAUGGAGACUGGGGAGGUCUUCUGUGACUGCAGAAAGGUAGAUGAUGCACCCAUCUUCAGAACGGGCAAGAAGGACAAUCUAGGGAACUACAGAACAAUCAUGGAAUGAGCAAUCUUGGAAGUAAUUUCUGGGCACAGGAAGGAAAAGGUCGUGACUGGGAAUAGCCAGCAUGGAUUUACAAGGGUAAAUCAUGCCAGACCAACCUAUUUGCCUCCUGUGAUGAGAUGACUUCAUCUGUUGAUGAGGGGAAAGCACAGAAUGUUGUCUACCUUUAGAGUCAAUUAGGUAGUGGAACAGAUUACCCAGAGGGGUUGUGCAGUCUCCACAUGGAGGAUUUUAAGACCUGACUGGACAAAGCCAUAAGCAACCUGGGACCUCCCAAAGUCCCUACCACUCUGAAUUAUUUUAUGAUAACUCUCAAGAUGGAUCUUUUCCAUCUUCUCUGUAGAAUUUCCUCCAUGUAAUACAGUUCAUAUCAGUCUGUGUAUUUAAAGUCAGUGCAUGUGCUACUAUUCACCCCACAUACCAGGAAAAUUACUUAAAAGGUUGCCCCCCUAGUUUUAACUAAACAAGAUCUAAGACAAUUUGAGCAAGAACAUCACUAGACGGGAUGUGACAAUAUUUUUUUAUUGUUUUAAUACAAGUGAAUAGAUUAAGAGAUCUGAAAUGUUGUAAAGCAAUAUACAUACUGAAUAAAUAAUAUGCACAGGAGAGUAAUGUCUACAUUAUAACACUGGCUAGUAUUCAGAAUACUUAAAAUAAAUCCAGUGACAUUGGAUAAAGUCCAUAAAAAUGCUAUCCUGUCUUCCCUUGUAUGAAAUUGUUCAAGUAUAAAAAAAUCCAAUACAGUGUAAAAUAUUAAAUUCCAUUUCGGUCAAGAAUAAAAAUUGCAAGUAUUGUAGUUUCACAGGACAAUGUAAAGCAGCAUUUUCUAGCAAAGGGAAAAAUAGUCAGUCUACAUACAC